UGGGGAAUUUUGCACAAUGGGGGAAACCCUGAUGCAGCGACGCCGCGUGAUUUAGAAGGCCUUCGGGUUGUAAAAAUCUUUUCUAUGGGAAGAAAAUGACAGUACCAUAGGAAUAAGGACCGGCUAAUUACGUGCCAGCAGCCGCGGUAAUACGUAAGGUCCGAGCGUUGUCCGGAAUCAUUGGGCGUAAAGGGUACGUAGGCGGGUAAGCAAGUUAGAAGUGAAAUCCUAUAGCUCAACUAUAGUAAGCUUUUAAAACUGCUCAUCUUGAGGUAUGGAAGGGAAAGUGGAAUUCCUAGUGUAGAGGUGAAAUGCGCAGAUAUUAGGAGGAAUACCGGUGGCGAAGGCGACUUUCUGGCCAUAACCUGACGCUGAGGUACGAAAGCGUGGGUAGCAAACAGG
rnacentral:rRNA from 1 species